rnacentral:rRNA from 1 species
UACGGGGGGAGCAAGCGUUGUUCGGAUUUACUGGGCGUAAAGGGCGCGUAGGCGGUCAGCACAAGUCAGUUGUGAAAUCUCCGGGCUUAACUCGGAAAGGUCAACUGAUACUGUGCGACUAGAGUGCGGAAGGGGCAACUGGAGUUCUCGGUGUAGCGGUGAAAUGCGUAGAUAUCGAGAGGAACACCUGCGGCGAAGGCGGGUUGCUGGGCCGACACUGACGCUGAUGCGCGAAAGCCAGGGGAGCGAACGGG